GGUUUGUGGCUCAGUGGUAGAGCGCUUGCCUACCAUGGGUGAGACACAGAGUUCAAUUCUCAGCACCA
rnacentral:tRNA from 1 species